rnacentral:rRNA from 1 species
GACAGAGGGUGCAAACGUUGUUCGGAAUUACUGGGCGUAAAGCGUGUGUAGGCGGUCUCGUAAGUCGGGUGUGAAAGCCCUGGGCUCAACCCAGGAAGUGCACUCGAAACUGCAAGGCUAGAGUACUGGAGAGGUUGGUGGAAUUCUCGGUGUAGAGGUGAAAUUCGUAGAUAUCGAGAGGAACACCGGUGGCGAAGGCGGCCAACUGGACGAAUACUGACGCUGAGACUCGAAAGCGUGGGGAGCAAACAGG